AUUGAACGCUGGCGGCAUGCCUUACACAUGCAAGUCGAACGGCAGCACGGGUGCUUGCACCUGGUGGCGAGUGGCGAACGGGUGAGUAAUACAUCGGAACAUGUCCUGUAGUGGGGGAUAGCCCGGCGAAAGCCGGAUUAAUACCGCAUACGAUCUACGGAUGAAAGCGGGGGACCUUCGGGCCUCGCGCUAUAGGGUUGGCCGAUGGCUGAUUAGCUAGUUGGUGGGGUAAAGGCCUACCAAGGCGACGAUCAGUAGCUGGUCUGAGAGGACGACCAGCCACACUGGGACUGAGACACGGCCCAGACUCCUACGGGAGGCAGCAGUGGGGAAUUUUGGACAAGGGGCGAAAGCCUGAUCCAGCAAUGCCGCGUGUGGGAAGAAGGCCUUCGGGUUUUAAAGCACUUUUGUCCGGAAAGAAAUCCUUGGCCCUAAUACGGUCGGGGGAUGACGGUACCGGAAGAAUAAGCACCGGCUAACUACGUG
rnacentral:rRNA from 1 species